GAACUUCGCCAGCUCCUCGGGGUGAGAAGUUCAUGGCUCACCUGGGGGCUCUCCAGGCUCUAUGGGGAGGCAGAGCCUGAAAACCGCACCCCUUCAUUCCUGGAGCCCCGCGAGGACCCCGCAUUCCCACCCAGGGAGACUGUUUAUCCUCUGGUUUUUCUCUCAGAGCGAUUAUUGAAGGCCAAUCGCAGGCAAGCGGAGGCCAAAGCCCUGGGAAAGGCAUGGCCUGGCUUAGAUGGAGAAAGAAGCCUGACCAGGGCCACCUCCCUCUGGUGUAUUCCCUGUCACAGUCCCUCGUUUGUGUUUCAGCAUCUACCUCUCUGGGCCCUUUCUCCUGCGGAGCACCAAGCUGACCCAAAUGCAGACAGUGUACACUGUGGAAGCAAUCUUCGAGAGGUCAAGCCCACUGUCAAAGGUCACAUGGCUUGGAGAGGCAGAUGGGACAUUGGAUGCAGACAGGCAGGCGGUGUUGCUAUAGAGAAUCACGCAGGGAGGAAUGAAGAGAGAGGACACAAUGGAAAAGGAAAAUCAGGGGAAACCUGCUGGUGACUUGUGGACUUGAAUAUUUGGUAACAGCCAUCAAGGAAGAAAACCCAAUGCUCACCCCCACACAGUUGGAGUGUGAAGAACUUUCUUCUAUUGGGACCUUUCUCCUCUUUCCCACUAGUGUAGGCAUUGGCUACCUAUUCGUGUAUAUCUGUGGAUUGGGAAAGGGAGGGGCUUUGAAUUUGCCUAAUACCCUGAUUGUUUG
rnacentral:lncRNA from 1 species